rnacentral:rRNA from 1 species
UUAAACGGCCGCGGUACCCUGACCGUGCAAAGGUAGCAUAAUAAAUUGCCUUUUAAUUGGAGGCUAGAAUGAAAGGACAAAUGCAGAGCCACUUGUCUCAUAACUACACACAUAAAUUAGUACUCAGGUGAAGAAACCUGAAUUAAACUAAAAGACAAGAAGACCCUAUUGAGUUUCACUUUACCUUCUACAUUGAGGUUAUUAUCAACAAAUCUCAAAAAAGAAUAAAAGUUUGGUUGGGGCAACCAAGGAUCAAACCUCACAUCCUUCUAUACAAAAGAACCUAAUUCUAUAACCCUAUCCAGUUUAACCGAAAAGAGAACAACAUUACCAUAGGGAUAACAGGCUAAUUUCUUCAAAGAGUCCACAUUGACGAAGAAGUUUGGCACCUCGAUGUUGGCUUAAGAUAACCCUCAAGUGCAGAAGCUUGAAACGGUAGGUUUGUUCAACCAUUAAAAUCUU